CUGAUUAUAGCUGGAUAUAUCAACGGAACAAUGAUAAUAGAGUGGGUAUUAGGGGGAAUUUUUGAAGGUGUCAAAAGAUUUGUUUAACAAGCUAAGACACUCGAUAUGUGGACACAUUAUUGAGUUAUUUGUUGUCCUUGUGUUAGAUGUGAUGGUAUAAAUCUUGAAAGUGAAGAAGAUGUGAAGGAACAUCUUUACAAAAAGGGGACAAGGACUUUUU
rnacentral:lncRNA from 1 species